CAGCCAAACCACACCUGCUGCAGUGUGAGCUGCCCCCAUGGGCACACAGCCCUCCCAAAACUGCUGUCAUGUGGGUCUCUCUCUUUCCAUGGGGUGCAGUCCUCCAAGGACUGCUGCUCCAGCCUGGCAGCAGGGCCCUCUCUCCCCUGGGUCUCCCACUGGAUCACAGCCUUCUGCAGGCAUCACCUGCUCUGGCAUGGGCAUCUCCUUCAUGGGCUGUGGGUGGAUCUCUGCAUCCCCCAUGGAUCCCCAUGGGCUGUGGGGGCACAGCUGCUUCACCAUGUUCUGCACCACAGCCUGCAGAGGAAUCUCAGCUCUGGCACCUGGAGCACCUCCUGCCCCUCCUUCUCCACCUUGACUGAUCUCCACCUUCUCCUUCUCUGACCUUGGUGUCACUAUGUUGUUUCCCUCACAUAUUCUCACCUGCUCCUCUUCUCUGGCUAGAAACAAAACUUAGGUGUUACCAGCCUCCCUCAGGGGCCCAGUUUUGGCCAGCAGCAUGUCCGUCUUCAGAGCCAUCAAGGAUUGGCACUGCUGGACAUGAUGGAAGCUUCCAGCAGCUUCUCCCAGGAUC